AUUGAACGCUGGCGGCAGGCCUAACACAUGCAAGUCGAGCGUGCGGCGGACGGGUGAGUAAUGUCUGGGAAACUGCCUGAUGGAGGGGGAUAACUACUGGAAACGGUAGCUAAUACCGCAUACCAUCAGAUGUGCCCAGAUGGGAUUAGCUAGUAGGUGGGGUAACGGCUCACCUAGGCGACGAUCCCUAGCUGGUCUGAGAGGAUGACCAGCCACACUGGAACUGAGACACGGUCCAGACUCCUACCUAGUACAACAGGAUACAAUAUUGCACAAUGGGCGCAAGCCUGAUUCAGCCAUGCCGCGUGUGUGAAGAAGGCCUUCGGGUUGUAAAGCACUUUCAGCGGGGAGGCGUUACCCGCAGAAGAAGCACCGGCUAACUCCGUGCCAGCAGCCGCGGUAAUUC
rnacentral:rRNA from 1 species